UACGUAGGGGGCAAGCGUUGUCCGGAUUUAUUGGGCGUAAAGAGCGUGUAGGCGGUUAGGUAGGUCCGUUGUGAAAACUCGAGGCUCAACCUCGAGACGCCGAUGGAAACCAUCUGACUAGAGUCCGGAAGAGGAGAGUGGAAUUCCUGGUGUAGCGGUGAAGUGCGCAGAUAUCAGGAAGAACACCCGUGGCUAAGGCGGCUCUCUAGUACGGUACUGACGCUGAGACGCGAAAGCGUGGGGAGCGAACAGG
rnacentral:rRNA from 1 species